rnacentral:rRNA from 1 species
GACGAACGCUGGCGGCGUGCUUAACACAUGCAAGUCGAACGGAAAGGCCCUGCUUUUGUGGGGUGCUCGAGUGGCGAACGGGUGAGUAACACGUGAGUAACCUGCCCUUGACUUUGGGAUAACUUCAGGAAACUGGGGCUAAUACCGGAUAGGAGCUCCUGCUGCAUGGUGGGGGUUGGAAAGUUUCGGCGGUUGGGGAUGGACUCGCGGCUUAUCAGCUUGUUGGUGGGGUAGUGGCUUACCAAGGCUUUGACGGGUGGCCGGCCUGAGAGGGUGACCGGCCACAUUGGGACUGGGAUACGGCCCAGACUCCUACGGGAGGCAGCAGUGGGGAAUAUUGCACAAUGGGCGGAAGCCUGAUGCAGCAACGCCGCGUGCGGGAUGACGGCCUUCGGGUUGUAAACCGCUUUCGCCUGUGACGAAGCGUGAGUGACGGUAAUGGGUAAAGAAGCACCGGCUAACUACGUG